rnacentral:rRNA from 1 species
AGUGAACGCUGGCGGUAGGCCUAACACAUGCAAGUCGAACGGCAGCACAGUAAGAGCUUGCUCUUACGGGUGGCGAGUGGCGGACGGGUGAGGAAUACAUCGGAAUCUACUUUUUCGUGGGGGAUAACGUAGGGAAACUUACGCUAAUACCGCAUACGACCUACGGGUGAAAGCAGGGGAUCUUCGGACCUUGCGCGAUUGAAUGCGCCGAUGUCGGAUUAGCUAGUUGGCGGGGUAAAGGCCCACCAAGUCGACGAUCCGUAGCUGGUCUGAGAGGAUGAUCAGCCACACUGGAACUGAGACACGGUCCAGACUCCUACGGGAGGCAGCAGUGGGGAAUAUUGGACAAUGGGCGCAAGCCUGAUCCAGCCAUACCGCGUGGGUGAAGAAGGCCUUCGGGUUGUAAAGCCCUUUUGUUGGGAAAGAAAAGCAGCAGGUUAAUACCCCGCUGUUCUGACGGUACCCAAAGAAUAAGCACCGGCUAACUUCGUG